UACGUAGGGGGCAAGCGUUAUCCGGAUUUACUGGGUGUAAAGGGAGCGCAGACGGCAGUGCAAGUCUGGAGUGAAAGCCCGGGGCCCAACCCCGGGACUGCUUUGGAAACUGUGUAACUUGAGUACAGGAGGGGCAGGCGGAAUUCCUGGUGUAGCGGUGAAAUGCGUAGAUAUAUGGAAGAACACCAGUGGCGAAGGCGGCCGCCUGGCCUGUUGCUGACGCUGAGGCACGAAAGCGUGGGGAGCAAAUAGG
rnacentral:rRNA from 1 species